AAGUGGGGUCAUAAAAUUACUGCUAAUAAUUUUAAGUCACUUUAUUGUGACACCAUUUU
rnacentral:tRNA from 1 species